ACCAGCAGUGAGCAAGGCCAGAAAAGCCAACCCUCCCAGAGACCCUCCAACUAUUUCUUUGGUGAAAUUUGGUUCAGGAUACACUUCUACUUCUGCUUCAAUCUGAGAGGAGGGCUGUUGUUGGACCCUGUGGAGAAGAAGAUGUACUCUUGUGUGUCGUACUCCAGACUGGCUGUGCUGGUCAGCAGGAAUUUGGCAGAAGGAAGUCCGAUCUGUUGAAGAUGCAUGAGCCUGAUGUAACAUCUCACUGGAGUAAGACGAAGCCCAGAACCGGACUUGUUUACGCAUCGUUUACCUGCUCGAUCCACCGUGAACUGAGGUUGGCUGAUAUUUUGUACUCUUUCACCGUCUGCCUUCCCAUUAACUGAGUGCAUCUGAACACGCUGCACCUCGCUACAGAGCAGUCCUGUUGGUGAUGCAGAGGAAACAGGAGCAUAAUAACAAAGCCACUGUACGCUGCAGUUUAACAGUUGUAGUUAGGAAGUGUGAACUGUUUGUGAAGUUACAUCAUCCGUUUCAUGACAUGUUUGUUUUGUUUAGCUUUUAGGAAAACUUCACCGAUUUUCAAUAGGGGUUGAUCAAAACAACCUCAGAUAAUAUUUAAGAAUGAAGGGACAGACUGCUCCAUAAUUUCUGUGCAGAGAAGUUAUCUUUCAUUCAUUCCUCUGGUAAGACACCUCCGUCCGCCAUUGCUUUUCCUUCGCAUACGCCUAAAGCACUAAUAUUCAAUGGCCGAAGGUCCUGCUGUAGAUUAUUUAGAAGACAGCGAUUUCUACAGCACAGUCUGAUAUUUGUGGUUAGUUGUAAGAGCCAAAGAACAACGCAGACGAGUUACGCCAUUGGGAGGAGGAUGAGGCUGCCUGUGAGGAACUGGCACCUGCAGCAGAAAGCCCAGGGUUUUCUACGUGCAGAGCCACAGGCUGGCAUAUCACUGCGCACUAAGCACUGAGUAAGUAAUAAAUAUUCAAUCUUUUAUUGUUUUAACUUGUGCUGUGAUGUUUGUAAAGUUACGAGCUACUGUUUAUGGUGUUUUACACUGUUGGAAGCUUGUGUUGCUAACGCUAGCUGGUAUAAUAGCUCUCUGUCAAUGGCUGGCAGCAGCUAAUUCAAUAUUACUACUUAAAUUUUUACGCAGUAUCAGCUUUACUGCUGCCAAUUCCUCUUGGAUGAAGUUGUCUAUUGCUGAGGAGGGACCGUGUGUGUUAUGGAUCAUUAGGUUUGGGCUGCUUCUAAACAAAGCAGCAAUCGAAGCUUAGCUUAGUGCUGUACAGUAUGCGUAUGCAAGAAAAAACAAUGGCAGACAGAACAGUUUUGCUCCAGCACACUGGCUCCGCCCCUUUGUAGACUGACCCCGCCCCUUCUAAAAUGCGCUACGCCCAUUAUAAGGCUGGCCCCGCCCCAUCUUAGCCUGACCAUUGCUGGGGCAGGUACAGAGGAACCAGGAAGCACUAGUUGUAGUCUGUGAGCCUGAGGCUCAAAAGUCUCUGUCCUGUUUCAGAAGCUUUUUGCAGAGGAGUAAAUGAUAAUUUCUUUGCAUAGAAAAUAUGGAGGAAUCUGAGUGUCCGGUCAUUCUUACAUACAGUACUACCCGAGGUCAUUUUAGUCAGUGGUUUCAGCUCUUGGUCUUUACACACAGAUGUUUCACCACAGUAUCAGUCUUACAGUAUGUACUGUAGAUGCUAAAAAGCUCAAUUUUGUGAUCUGGCCUUCAGCAACUGACUAAUAUUUCUCAAAUGUUAGUCAGCCACUCAAAAAUUAAAUAAAUGAAAGAUUUUAGACUUUCUGGAAAUGAGGUUUCAUGCAAACAGACUCACCACUGCCUUAUUUCUUUGUAUUUGAGGGACAAAGUCCUGGACGUCUGGUGGCUGUUCUUUGUAUUUCAGGCAGCCUUCAAUCUGGAGCAGAGCAAACGCAUGUAAGUUCAACAACGUGGACCCCAUGUACCGCAGCUGGAGACAAAGGUACAAAGACGGCAGAUGCUGCCCUGACCGUCGUCCUCCAAAGGCGAGCCCACUGCCAGAUCGUUGAGCCCGUCUGUGUUCAGAUCAGGCAGCACAGCGAGAGAAGACCCAAAUCUUCCUUUGCCAGAUGCGGCGC